UAUGGAACCACUGUUUUGUGCACCGUGCAUUACGUCGAAGGCAAAUACGCCCCCUAGUCGAUCCUUCUUGCAGGNUCGGC
rnacentral:misc_RNA from 1 species